GGUUACUGGUGCAAAGAGGGAGCAUCUUCUCCCAGUCCGCUGGAUGGACUCUCAGGUUCCCUGUGUCCGCCUGGUCAAUACUGCCCCUCAGGCACCACUGCUCCUGUGGCCUGCCCUGAAGGAACCUGGUCAAACUCCUCAGGCCUGCGUAGCCAGGAGGACUGCAAGGCCUGCCUGGGGGGAUUUUUCUGUGACUCUGCAGGCCUCACUAAACCCAGUGGACCCUGCAGUGCGGGAUAUUACUGUAUAGAGGGAGCCGUCACAUCCACCCCUACCAAAGGAAUUAC